rnacentral:hammerhead_ribozyme from 1 species
ACUCAGGUGAAGAGUCCCAACUGGGACAAGACGCGCGUCCUGAAU